UACGAGGGGGGGCGAGCGUUGUUCGGAAUUAUUGGGCGUAAAGGGCGCGUAGGCGGCUUGGCAAGUGGAUGGUGAAAUCCCUCGGCUUAACCGAGGAACUGCCGUCCAAACUGCUUCGCUUGAGACCGGGAGAGGUGAGUGGAAUUCCCAGUGUAGCGGUGAAAUGCGUAGAUAUUGGGAGGAACACCAGUGGCGAAGGCGGCUCACUGGACCGGUACUGACGCUGAUGCGCGAAAGCGUGGGGAGCAAACGGG
rnacentral:rRNA from 1 species